AUAAAAUGUCUAUAUUGCCCUUAAUAAAAUUCAAAUAUCACAAACCUAAACCAGUAUCUCUCUCUGCCGUCGACACUCAACUCUCUCUCGAACCUCUCUUUCUCUCUCGGAUCACUCUCUCUUGAAACUCCAUGAGAGGAGCUUGAGCUCUCUCUCUCUCUCCAUGCCUCUCUCUUUCUCCGCCUCCCUCUCUCUCUGUGCCGCUCUCUGUCUGCCUCUCUCUCCGCGCCUCUCUCUCUUCGUGCCUCUCUCUGUCUGCCUCUCUCUCUCUCUCGCCGCAUCUGGUUGAUAAUGACGAUUCUGUUUGAAAACGCAUGCUCUGUUGGUUCAUGGCUAUGACAUUUGGAUUGACUCCAUGGCUAUUACAUUUGGAUUGAGAGUCAAUGCUGGUUCUUAGGAACUUGUAUUGUGGUUUUGUUAUGUGGGUUCUAAUUACUUGUUUGCUAUGAGUCUGAGAUCAUUCUGUGUUGAGUGCUUUGUUUGCUAUGAGUUUGAGAUCAUUUUGUGCUGAGUGCUUUGUUUGAUAUGAAUCGAAGAUCAUACUAUGCUGAAAUAUUUUGAAACUUAUAAAUUUAUGAAUUUAUGAAUGUCAAAA